GACGAACGCUGGCGGCGUGCUUAACACAUGCAAGUCGAACGGAAAGGCCCUGCUUUUGUGGGGUGCUCGAGUGGCGAACGGGUGAGUAACACGUGAGUAACCUGCCCUUGACUUUGGGAUAACUUCAGGAAACUGGGGCUAAUACCGGAUAGGAGCUCCUGCUGCAUGGUGGGGGUUGGAAAGUUUCGGCGGUUGGGGAUGGACUCGCGGCUUAUCAGCUUGUUGGUGGGGUAGUGGCUUACCAAGGCUUUGACGGGUAGCCGGCCUGAGAGGGUGACCGGCCACAUUGGGACUGAGAUACGGCCCAGACUCCUACGGGAGGCAGCAGUGGGGAAUAUUGCACAAUUGGCGGAAGCCUGAUGCAGCAACGCCGCGUGCGGGAUGACGGCCUUCGGGUUGUAAACCGCUUUCGCCUGUGACGAAGCGUGAGUGACGGAAAUGGGUAAAGAAGCACCGGCUAACUACGUG
rnacentral:rRNA from 1 species